UACGAAGGGGGCUAGCGUUGUUCGGAUUUACUGGGCGUAAGGCGCACGUAGGCGGACUAUUAAGUCAGGGGUGAAAUCCCGGGGCUCAACCCCGGAACUGCCUUUGAUACUGGUAGUCUUGAGUUCGAGAGAGGUGAGUGGAAUUCCGAGUGUAGAGGUGAAAUUCGUAGAUAUUCGGAGGAACACCAGUGGCGAAGGCGGCUCACUGGCUCGAUACUGACGCUGAGGUGCGAAAGCGUGGGGAGCAAACAGG
rnacentral:rRNA from 1 species